rnacentral:rRNA from 1 species
UACGUAGGGUGCAAGCGUUGUCCGGAAUUAUUGGGCGUAAAGAGCUCGUAGGCGGUCUGUCGCGUCGGCUGUGAAAACUCGGGGCUCAACUCCGAGCUUGCAGUCGAUACGGGCAGGCUAGAGUUCGGCAGGGGAGACUGGAAUUCCUGGUGUAGCGGUGGAAUGCGCAGAUAUCAGGAGGAACACCGGUGGCGAAGGCGGGUCUCUGGGCCAUUACUGACGCUGAGGAGCGAAAGCGUGGGGAGCAAACAGG